UGGGGAAUAUUGGGGCAAUGGGGGGCAACCCUGACCCAGCAACGCCGCGUGAAGGAAGAAGGCUUUCGGGUUGUAAACUUCUUUGUCAGGGACGAAGAGAGUGACGGUACCUGACGAAUAAGCCACGGCUAACUACGUGCCAGCAGCCGCGGUAAUACGUAGGUGGCAAGCGUUGUCCGGAUUUACUGGGUGUAAAGGGCGCGUAGGCGGGUAUGCAAGUCAGAUGUGAAAUGUAGGGGCUUAACCCCUGAACUGCAUUUGAAACUGUGUAUCUUGAGUAUCGGAGAGGCAGGCGGAAUUCCUAGUGUAGCGGU
rnacentral:rRNA from 1 species